UUUGGGAACUAAUUGGCGUUCGGGGUUGAGUUAACCCGUAACUUGACCUACCCCCUAAUUUCGGGGAUUUCGAUUCGGAAGAUUCGCUAAAACGUGAUUUUCUGCUCCCUCCUGUGGGAUCAGUAAAGAAUUAUUUCUUUGGGUUGGGGUUGCGUUCCAUCANCUAGUUGGCGGGGUAAAGGCCCACCAAGGCGACGACGGAUAGCCGGCCUGAGAGGGUGGCCGGCCACAGGGGCACUGAGACACGGGUCCCACUCCUACGGGAGGCAGCAGUUAGGAAUCUUCCACAAUGGGCGAAAGCCUGAUGGAGCGACGCCGCGUGAGGGAUGAAGGUCUUCGGAUCGUAAACCUCUGAAUCAGGGACGAAAGACACUUCGGUGGGAUGACGGUACCUGAGUAAUAGCACCGGCUAACUCCGUG
rnacentral:rRNA from 1 species